CAGCCGCCGCGGUAAUACGUAGGUGGCAAGCGUUGUCCGGAAUUAUUGGGCGUAAAGGGCGCGUAGGCGGCCGAUCAAGUCAGGCGUGAAAGCCCCGGGCUUAACCUGGGAACUGCGUUUGGGACUGGUUGGCUUGAGUUCGGGAGAGGAGAGUGGAAUUCCCAGUGUAGAGGUGAAAUUCGUAGAUAUUGGGAAGAACACCGGUGGCGAAGGCGGCUCUCUGGACCGAUACUGACGCCGAGGCGCGAAAGCGUGGGGAGCAAACAGGAUUAGAUACCCGAGUAGUCCCUGUCUCUUAUAC
rnacentral:rRNA from 1 species